rnacentral:rRNA from 1 species
AUACGUAGGGGGCGAGCGUUGUCCGGAAUUACUGGGCGUAAAGGGUACGCAGGCGGCCAUGUAAGUCAGAUGUGAAAGGUCACGGCUUAACCGUGGUAAGCAUUUGAAACUGUGUGGCUUGAGUUAAGGAGAGGAAAGUGGAAUUCCUGGUGUAGCGGUGAAAUGCGUAGAUAUCAGGAGGAAUAUCAGUGGCGAAGGCGACUUUCUGGACUUAAACUGACGCUGAGGUACGAAAGCGUGGGUAGCAAACAGGAUUAGAUACCCUGGUAGUCCACGCUGUAAACGAUGAGUGCUAGGUGUCGGGGGUCAAACCUCGGUGCCGCAGUUAACACAUUAAGCACUCCGCCUGGGGAGUACGUUCGCAAGAAUGAA